rnacentral:rRNA from 1 species
AUUGAACGCUGGCGGCAGGCCUAACACAUGCAAGUCGAGCGGUAGAGAGAAGCUUGCUUCUCUUGAGAGCGGCGGACGGGUGAGUAAUGCCUAGGAAUCUGCCUGAUAGUGGGGGAUAACGUCCGGAAACGGACGCUAAUACCGCAUACGUCCUACGGGAGAAAGUGGGGGCUCUUCGGACCUCACGCUAUCAGAUGAGCCUAGGCCGGAUUAGCUAGUUGGUGGGGUAAAGGCUCACCAAGGCGACGAUCCGUAACUGGUCUGAGAGGGUGAUCAGUCACACUGGAACUGAGACACGGUCCAGACUCCUACGGGAGGCAGCAGUGGGGAAUAUUGGACAAUGGGCGAAAGCCUGAUCCAGCCAUGCCGCGUGUGUGAAGAAGGUCUUCGGAUUGUAAAGCACUUUAAGUUGGGAGGAAGGGCGUUUGGCUAAUAUCCAGGCGUUUUGACGUUACCAACAGAAUAAGCACCGGCUAACUUCGUGCCAGCCGCCGCCGUAAAAC